rnacentral:lncRNA from 1 species
CCAGGAGAAGCUGUCAGACUGACCUGGCUGUACUUGCGGAACAACGCGGUAAAAUCGGUAUAGCUGGAGCCUUUGUGGCCGUGCUGGGAAUGGUAUCCAGGAAUGGCCCAGCUGAUUGGGAAGGAAUCCAGGCCCUUUCUUUCUUCUGGCUGGGAGCACCCGACAAAUGAAGGAGCUGCUCCAGCAGGAAAGAGUAUCCAUGUCCAUCCCAUAGCUCUGACAGCGUCAGCCCCGAUUGCUCAUCUGUUUCCAAGUACAGCUGAGACAUUUUGCUGGUGGGCAGAGAAGUCAGGGACACUGCAUCCAGCACCCUGCAGCAGAGGAAGCAUUAGUACUGCUGUUGUUAGCCUUGUUAUUUUCUCCUAAUAAAAAGGUGGUCGUGACUCACUCCAUUAAGAAACAAAAGCAGAGUUGUAAUCUACUGAAAGGCAGUUGUUUGGAUGCUCAGCAUUAGGUG